rnacentral:rRNA from 1 species
GACGAACGCUGGCGGCGUGCUUAACACAUGCAAGUCGAACGAUGACGACCGAGCUUGCUCGGUCUGAUUAGUGGCGAAAGGGUGAGUAACACGUGAGCAACCUGCCCUUCACUCUGGGAUAACCUCGGGAAAUCGGGGCUAAUACCGGAUAUGAGCUCCUGUCGCAUGGCGGGUGUUGGAAAGUUUUUCGGUGAAGGAUGGGCUCGCGGCCUAUCAGUUUGUUGGUGAGGUAGUGGCUCACCAAGGCGAUGACGGGUAGCCGGCCUGAGAGGGCGACCGGCCACACUGGGACUGUGACACGGCCCAGACUCCUACGGGAGGCAGCAGUGGGGAAUAUUGCACAAUGGGCGAAAGCCUGAUGCAGCGACGCCGCGUGAGGGAUGACGGCCUUCGGGUUGUAAACCUCUUUCAGCAGGGAAGAAGCGAAAGUGACGGUACCUGCAGAAGAAGCGCCGGCUAACUACGUG